GCCGGAGUGGCGGAAUGGCAGACGCGCUGGACUCAAAAUCCAGUGACCUUCGGGUCAUGAGGGUUCAAGUCCCUCCUCCGGUA
rnacentral:tRNA from 1 species